GACGAACGCUGGCGGCGUGCUUAACACAUGCAAGUCGAACGGAAAGGCCCUGCUUUUGUGGGGUGCUCGAGUGGCGAACGGGUGAGUAACACGUGAGUAACCUGCCCUUGACUUUGGGAUAACUUCAGGAAACUGGGGCUAAUACCGGAUAGGAGCUCCUGCUGCAUGGUGGGGGUUGGAAAGUUUCGGCGGUUGGGGAUGGACUCGCGGCUUAUCAGCUUGUUGGUGGGGUAGUGGCUUACCAAGGCUUUGACGGGUAGCCGGCCUGGGAGGGGGACCGGCCACACUGGGACUGAGAGACGGCCCAGAAUCCUACGGGAGGCAGCAGGGGGGAAUAUUGCACAAUGGGCGGAAGCCUGAUGCAGCAACGCCGCGUGCGGGAUGACGGCCUUCGGGUUGUAAACCGCUUUCGCCUGUGACGAAGCGUGAGUGACGGUAAUGGGUAAAGAAGCACCGGCUAACUACGUG
rnacentral:rRNA from 1 species